GAAGGGCAACAAGGCUGAUGAAGGGACUUGAGCACAAGUCCUGUGAGGAGAGGCUGAGGGAGCUGGGGUUGUUUAGCCUGGAGAAGAGGAGGCUCAGGGGAGACCUCAUCACUCUCUAUAACUCCCUGAAAGGAGGUUGUAGCCGGGUGGGGUGGUCUCUUCUCCCACGCAACCAGCAGUAGGACAAGAGGGCAUGGUCUUAAGCUCUGCUAGGGGACGUUUAAGUUGGAUAUUAGGAAGAAAUUUUUUACAGAGAGAGUAAUCAGACAUUGGAAUGGGCUGCCCAGGGAGGUGGUGAGUUCACUAUCCCUGGAGGUUUUUUAAGAUGAGGCUGGACGUGGCACUUAGUGCCAUGGCCUAGUAACCCUAGUGGUGUUGGAUCAAGGUUGGACUUGAUGAUAUCAGAGGUCUUUUCCAACUCGGUCGAUUCUAUGAACCAUGAACAGCAAGCAGACAAAAUAGAACAGUUUGACAUAAGAAAUGGUAUGUCCAAACUAUCUGGCAAGUACUUUCCAUUAGGGAAUAUGUUAAUAGAAAUGAUUACUUGCUCAUAGUCAGUUUGAAGCAAAAAAAUGAAUUUGUUCCCAGUCAAUAUACACUCACUCAGUUUUAAUUAAAUAUUUGUAUGGAAUGAGUCUCUUGUUAGCUGCCCUGGAAGAUGUUCAUGAAAACAAACAUGCAGCAUGGGAGAUAAACAAGACUUAUUAGGAAUAUGCACAUGCCUCCAGGGCUAUGAUCUUACUGGCAUCACAGAGAUGUGGUGGGAUGGCUCCUAUGAGUGGAAUGCUGGAAUGGAUGGGUUCUUUAAGAAGGACAGUCAAUGGAGAUGAGGAGAAGGUUUCACCUUCUAUGUCAAUGACCAGCUGGAGUGCAUGGAGCUCCACGUUGGGAUGGGUGAGGAGCUGACUGAAACUUUAAGGCUCAGGUUUAAAGGAGGACAGGGACAGGUGACAUUAUAGUGGGAGUCUGCUACAGGCUGCCUGACCAGGAGGACAGAGCAGAUGAAGCCCUCAUAGACAAAGAGGAGUGGCUUCAUGUUCACAAGCCCAUGUCUUUAUGGGUGACUUCAAACACCCUGAUAUGUGUUGAAGGAACAACAUACCAGGGCAUAAAAAAUACAGAAUGCUGGAUUAUAUAUGUAGCAUAUUUUACCAUUCUAUGAUUUUUUCCUCCCUCCUCUCCUGGUUACUCAAACCAGCAUGUAGCAAGACCUCCUCACUUUGCUAAAAUAGGCCAAUGAGAAGCAUCAUAACAGGGUACUUCUGAACCUGUCACUAGACACACACAAGUGAAGUCACAGAGAGAAAGUGAUGCAGUACUACACUUUGAACAAACUGGCAAAUGACUUACAAGAACAAAAGUAAUCAGAGUUCUACCUCUGGCAACGAGAGGCAUGAGAGGCAAGUGACCUCAGGGUGCAUUGUUUCUGAUGCCGACUUUCCUCUCUGCUGUACCAUACCAAGCUGAUGAUGAAGUACCAAGGAUAUCUGAAACAGCUUAUGAUGACCUGAUCUUUCAGCCUUGUGAUUAAUCAUCUCCCAAGUUCCAUGCAUCCACAAGUAGCAGCACUGUGGGAGGUGCUGCAGGAAAUGAAGAGUGGCAGAAAGAUCUGAAAACGCUUGGACAGUGACUUUACGCCUGUCCAGAUGUCCCAGGACUGCUGUGAUGAGGCUUGCAAUGAAAUGAAGCAUUCCUUACUGAUUUUAAAUAACAUGAUGAGAAUUGUUUAAGAACCAUCCAUGGAACAUAUCAGAGGCAAGUGAGAGGGCAACUGUUACAGAGAGCACAAUCAGAAACUUUUAGGCCAGAGAGAAUACCUCAGGAUGAGAUUCAGCAAAAGAUAUUUGACUAAUUUGUAUUCUUGAAAAAGAACCUAUCAGGAUUAUGAAGAAUUUAAUAAGAAAAGAAGAAAGGAGAGAUUAUUUUCAAACCAAAAAAUCUGCAAUGAAUUUAUGGAGAUACACUAAACUAAGCUACUCAAAAAACAGAAUGACUUUUUUUUUUAUUUUAGUAGGAAAUGGUAGGAUUUAUCAAAACUUAAUUUCUUCCUAGAAUAGGAUGAGAAAUUUAAAGAAUGCAAUCCAUAGUGAAAAUGUAAUCUUGUGAGUAAAUGCGCAUCUGAGUUUUGUGUGUGUUUAAAAACAAACUGUUUCAACUGUAUCAAGAUGCUGUGAUAAUUUUUUGUCAGCAUUUUAUAAUAAUACUACCUGACAUACAUUUAAAUUUCAUUGACUUGGCAUCUUUCAGUAGAAAACUACUUCCCUGGAAAUUGUUUAAUCAACUCACAGAUGAAAUAGUGCACUAUAAAUGUUUUCGGUUUCUUUACAUCCUUCUCUGCAUAGUGAGUGCUUCUCUCACCAAAAUCAGAGAACUUGAACUCUUACCAGUACUAGUGCUCUCUUUGCUUUUCCCAGCCCAGACCCCCUUAGCAGCCUGCCUUACCCUCACAAAUGAGUCAAAGAUGAAAAAACAUUAAGUUCCUGGUGUAAAGCUUUCAAAGAGAAGGCAUUUAGUGAAAAUGUGUCAAGAACUCCUUUUAAGGACACUCGUAGACCUGAACUAUUUCCAGAGGAAGUAAGCUUCCUCAAUUUAGCUUUUAAGUGACACUUUAUUUUAACAUAAAGCUGGUCCUCAAAAAUGAGGAUACAAAGAACAACGUGCGUGCAGUAGGUUGUUUUGCUCGAGAGCUUGUUGCUGCAGGUGUUUUUGCAGGUGCUGGGGUCCAUCAGUGCUGGGCACUUUUUAAACAUCACCUCCUAAGGGCACCAGGAGCAGGCAAUUCCUGAAAGUUGGAAGUCAAGCAAGAGAGGCAGAAGGCUGGCUCGGCUAAGCAGCAAUCUUCUCUUGGAAAUAAGGCAAAAAAGGAAGGUAUAUGCCCAGUGUAAGCAAGGUCAAGUGACAUGGGGAGAAUACAGAGAUUCUACUUGCCAUUGUAGGGAGAAAAAUCAGGCAGCCAAAGCUCAGCUGGAAUUGAAGCUGGACAGAAACGUGGGGGACAAUAAAAAGAGUUUUCUUCAAACAUAUUAAUGGCAAUAGGUAGUAUAGAAAUAUCAUCCUGGGUGCAAUCACACAGCACCUACAGGAUGGACAAGGGAUCAGACCCAGC